rnacentral:rRNA from 1 species
GGAUCAUUAUCGUAGGGCUUCGGCCCUGUCGAGAUAGAACCCUUGCCUUUUUGAGUACCUUUCUGUUUCCUCGGCAGGCUCGCCUGCCAAUGGGGACCCCAAUAAACACUUUGUAGUACCUGUAACUGUCUGAAAAACAAACAAAUAAUUAAAACUUUCAACAACGGAUCUCUUGGUUCUGGCAUCGAUGAAGAACGCAGCGAAAUGCGAUAAGUAGUGUGAAUUGCAGAUUUCAGUGAAUCAUCGAAUCUUUGAACGCACAUUGCGCCCUUUGGUAUUCCUUAGGGCAUGCCUGUUCGAGCGUCAUUUAAACCUUCAAGCUCAGCUUGGUGAUGGGUGACUGUCCGCUGCCUCCCCCCGGGGUGCGCCGCGGACUCGCCUCAAAUUUAUUGGCGGCCGGUACGUUGGCUUCGAGCGCAGCAGAAACGCGUAACUCGAGGUCUCCGUGGCGGCUCCCACAAGCAACCUUCAUUAUUUUGACCUCGGAUCAGGUAGGGAUACCCGCUGAACUUAAGCAUAUCAAUAAGCGGAGGAAAAGAAACCAACAGGGAUUGCCCUAGUAACGGCGAGUGAAGCGGCAACAGCUCAAAUUUGAAAUCUGGCUCUUUCAGGGUCCGAGUUGUAAUUUGUAGAGGGUGCUUUGGAGUUGACUGUGGUCUAAGUUCCUUGGAACAGGACGUCGCAGAGGGUGAGAAUCCCGUAUGUGGCCGCCAGUCUUCGCCGUGUAAAGCCCCUUCGACGAGUCGAGUUGUUUGGGAAUGCAGCUCUAAAUGGGAGGUAAAUUUCUUCUAAAGCUAAAUAUUGGCCAGAGACCGAUAGCGCACAAGUAGAGUGAUCGAAAGAUGAAAAGCACUUUGGAAAGAGAGUCAAAAAGCACGUGAAAUUGUUGAAAGGGAAGCGCUUGCAGCCAGACUUGCCUGUAGUUGCUCAUCCGGGCUCUUGCCCGGUGCACUCUUCUAUAGGCAGGCCAGCAUCAGUCGCGGCGGUCGGAUAAAUGCCUGCGGAAUGUACCUCUCUUC